rnacentral:lncRNA from 1 species
UAAACAAAUUAAAUAUUUUCUCUGAGGAUCGACCUCGGACUCAUCGAGUUAUAAUAUAACAAGACACUCUUAUACUUGGGAGUUAAAAAUUACUUUUAAGUUGUGUCAUUUAGAUAACUUGUAUGCAUUUCUCUCUUGUGACUAUUUAGUACUUCUUUUCCUUACUUGAAAUAUUUAACUGUUACACAGGCAAUGUCUUCGGACUCUAACAACUACUAUGAGCUAACCAUUUGUGAAUAACUUGUUGAAGACGACGAUUACUAGACUAUCAUAAAUAAUCAGACACCUUUUGUUGCAAAUUUUACUUAUACUAUAUUUCAUCCCAUAUAUUUUUCUUCCAUCUCUGGUUGAAGCAUUGAUGAAAUCGAUAAUCACAUGGGUGAAAUGUCACUUGAUCUCUCCAUGUCUUUUAUGGGGUAGGCAACUCAAUUUCUCUUGAAAAAAAGCUAAAGAUAACAACGACCUAGCCAUCCUCCUUCAAGAACUAUCACUAUGCAUCUAGAUUUCUUUAUGCAUGGUGUUAUACUUCUUUUGCAUUCUUUUUCUUAGGUACAUAAUUAGUCAUUUUCAACCUGCUCUCACCUAACUUAGCCAUUAUGAUAAGUAUGCACGUUCUUUGGAAACAAAGAAACUUUCCUAAUCCCACAGUCUAACAAUUCUCAUGGUUUUAUCAACUUAUAAACAUUCUUAACCACAAAAAGUGCCCUCUUAUUGAGAGUUGGUACUAUGUAUGCUCUUAGCCUAAACUUCCUUAUUUAAUUAUUUGAAAGAGAUCACUUAGUAGGUCAUAGAAAGAUUCAUGGUUUUUUGUUACUGAGAAUUGGGAAUUUGGGGGUUGUCAUGACAUAUAUCCUGAAUGUAGAGUCCAAACUCAUUUUGCACCCCAGGUUGUUUUUUGAGGUGAUUGUACAAUAUACCAUUUUGUGACUUUCACUUACUUUACUUUCUUCUUUUUUUUUUUCUUUUUCAAUGACAUGGGGCGGCCAACCUGAAACAUUAAGUAGGCAAUGAAAGGGAUCUAUUAUUAGGCAUCCUUUAUAACCUAAAAAUUCAAAACCUAGGAUUAUCUCUUGCAAUCGGGCUUCUUAUCAAUAUUUGGUUUUACUUCUCCUACAAGUAAAGUUCAUGAAAGCCACAAAAUGGAAUAUUGUAUAAUCAUCCCAAAAAGCUACUUGGGUUUCUGAAAUAAGUUUGACUCGACAUUCAUAAUAUAUGUUAUGACAACACCCAAGUUCCCAAUCCUCAGUAGCAAACAACCAUGAUUAUUUCCAUGACCCUCCAAGUGAUCUCUUUUGGAUGAUUAAAAGAGAAAGUUUACACCAAGAACAUACAUAAUACCAGCUCUUAACGGGAUAUCCCUUGUUGAGGUUAGAAAUGCUCAUAAGUUGAUAAAACCACUGGAAUUGUUGGAAUAUGUAACCAAAAUAUUUUUUUCUUGUUUUCAAAGAAUCGUACGUGCCUAUCAUAAUGGACUGAGUUAGCGAGGCGGGAGCACAUCCAAGUUCUUCUACACCAAACGACUUCUAGAGUAUUUUUGUCAUUCUACAUAAGAAACAAGGGUAGUUUAAGGGACGUGAGAAAGGGUAUUUUGGGAAAUGAAUUGUGAUGACGCGUUAGUUACUCAUAUAAAAUAAAUAAAAGGCGACAAAAGUAGUAACGAUGUCAUCUGGGGGCGUGAUAACCUGAGGAAGGACAGAUUCCAGUGCACAUGCUGGUACGGCUAAUUUAAUUAUAAUAAAUAAUUAAUUAAUGCAUUUGGAUUAGACUAAUGUCACACUUAAUUAAGUACCUACGUUUUUCUCUCUUACGCUCUUCUACGGCAUGAGAAACUAACGCAACAAUUACAGUUUCACAGCUGCUACUGGUGUUGGCGCGUGAUCACACUCGCUCAGCUUAAGUAUGUUUUGUGUUUUCUGCUUCUGCAAUUGUUACAGGGCACCUUCUUUGAAGACGCAACAUAUAUAUAUAU